CAGCUGCUAGCUGUGCUCCAC
rnacentral:miRNA from 1 species